rnacentral:rRNA from 1 species
CGGAGGAUCCAAGCGUUAUCCGGAUUCAUUGGGUUUAAAGGGUGCGUAGGCGGAAUGAUAAGUCAGUGGUGAAAUCUCUUCGCUUAACGAAGAAACUGCCAUUGAUACUGUCAAUCUUGAGUACAUUUGAUGUGGGCGGAAUGUGUCAUGUAGCGGUGAAAUGCUUAGAUAUGACACAGAACACCGAUUGCGAAGGCAGCUCACAAAACUGUAACUGACGCUGAGGCACGAAAGCGUGGGUAUCAAACAGGAUUAGAUACCCUGGUAGUCCACGCUGUAAACCAUGAUUACUCGAUGUUUGCGAUACACUGUAAGCGUCUAAGCGAAAGCGAUAAGUAAUCCACCUGGGGAGUACGCUCGCAAGAGUG